GAGGGUAUAGCUUAAGUGGUAGAGUGCAUGGCUUAGCAUACCCAAGGUCCUGGGUUCAAUCCCCAGUACCUCCU
rfam:Camelus ferus unplaced genomic scaffold scaffold1061, whole genome shotgun sequence.